rnacentral:rRNA from 1 species
GUUAAGCGACUAAGCGUACACGGUGGAUGCCCUGGCAGUCAGAGGCGAUGAAGGACGUGCUAAUCUGCGAUAAGCGUCGGUAAGGUGAUAUGAACCGUUAUAACCGGCGAUUUCCGAAUGGGGAAACCCAGUGUGUUUCGACACACUAUCAUUAACUGAAUCCAUAGGUUAAUGAGGCGAACCGGGGGAACUGAAACAUCUAAGUACCCCGAGGAAAAGAAAUCAACCGAGAUUCCCCCAGUAGCGGCGAGCGAACGGGGAGCAGCCCAGAGCCUGAAUCAGUGUGUGUGUUAGUGGAAGCGUCUGGAAAGGCGCGCGAUACAGGGUGACAGCCCCGUACACAAAAAUGCACAUGCUGUGAGCUCGAUGAGUAGGGCGGGACACGUGGUAUCCUGUCUGAAUAUGGGGGGACCAUCCUCCAAGGCUAAAUACUCCUGACUGACCGAUAGUGAACCAGUACCGUGAGGGAAAGGCGAAAAGAACCCCGGCGAGGGGAGUGAAAAAGAACCUGAAACCGUGUACGUACAAGCAGUGGGAGCACGCUUCGGCGUGUGACUGCGUACCUUUUGUAUAAUGGGUCAGCGACUUAUAUUCUGUAGCAAGGUUAACCGAAUAGGGGAGCCGAAGGGAAACCGAGUCUUAACUGGGCGUUAAGUUGCAGGGUAUAGACCCGAAACCCGGUGAUCUAGCCAUGGGCAGGUUGAAGGUUGGGUAACACUAACUGGAGGACCGAACCGACUAAUGUUGAAAAAUUAGCGGAUGACUUGUGGCUGGGGGUGAAAGGCCAAUCAAACCGGGAGAUAGCUGGUUCUCCCCGAAAGCUAUUUAGGUAGCGCCUCGUGAAUUCAUCUCCGGGGGUAGAGCACUGUUUCGGCAAGGGGGUCAUCCCGACUUACCAACCCGAUGCAAACUGCGAAUACCGGAGAAUGUUAUCACGGGAGACACACGGCGGGUGCUAACGUCCGUCGUGAAGAGGGAAACAACCCAGACCGCCAGCUAAGGUCCCAAAGUCAUGGUUAAGUGGGAAACGAUGUGGGAAGGCCCAGACAGCCAGGAUGUUGGCUUAGAAGCAGCCAUCAUUUAAAGAAAGCGUAAUAGCUCACUGGUCGAGUCGGCCUGCGCGGAAGAUGUAACGGGGCUAAACCAUGCACCGAAGCUGCGGCAGCGACGCUUAUGCGUUGUUGGGUAGGGGAGCGUUCUGUAAGCCUGUGAAGGUGUGCUGUGAGGCAUGCUGGAGGUAUCAGAAGUGCGAAUGCUGACAUAAGUAACGAUAAAGCGGGUGAAAAGCCCGCUCGCCGGAAGACCAAGGGUUCCUGUCCAACGUUAAUCGGGGCAGGGUGAGUCGACCCCUAAGGCGAGGCCGAAAGGCGUAGUCGAUGGGAAACAGGUUAAUAUUCCUGUACUUGGUGUUACUGCGAAGGGGGGACGGAGAAGGCUAUGUUGGCCGGGCGACGGUUGUCCCGGUUUAAGCGUGUAGGCUGGUUUUCCAGGCAAAUCCGGAAAAUCAAGGCUGAGGCGUGAUGACGAGGCACUACGGUGCUGAAGCAACAAAUGCCCUGCUUCCAGGAAAAGCCUCUAAGCAUCAGGUAACAUCAAAUCGUACCCCAAACCGACACAGGUGGUCAGGUAGAGAAUACCAAGGCGCUUGAGAGAACUCGGGUGAAGGAACUAGGCAAAAUGGUGCCGUAACUUCGGGAGAAGGCACGCUGAUAUGUAGGUGAAGCGACUUGCUCGUGGAGCUGAAAUCAGUCGAAGAUACCAGCUGGCUGCAACUGUUUAUUAAAAACACAGCACUGUGCAAACACGAAAGUGGACGUAUACGGUGUGACGCCUGCCCGGUGCCGGAAGGUUAAUUGAUGGGGUUAGCGCAAGCGAAGCUCUUGAUCGAAGCCCCGGUAAACGGCGGCCGUAACUAUAACGGUCCUAAGGUAGCGAAAUUCCUUGUCGGGUAAGUUCCGACCUGCACGAAUGGCGUAAUGAUGGCCAGGCUGUCUCCACCCGAGACUCAGUGAAAUUGAACUCGCUGUGAAGAUGCAGUGUACCCGCGGCAAGACGGAAAGACCCCGUGAACCUUUACUAUAGCUUGACACUGAACAUUGAGCCUUGAUGUGUAGGAUAGGUGGGAGGCUUUGAAGUGUGGACGCCAGUCUGCAUGGAGCCGACCUUGAAAUACCACCCUUUAAUGUUUGAUGUUCUAACGUUGACCCGUGAUCCGGGUUGCGGACAGUGUCUGGUGGGUAGUUUGACUGGGGCGGUCUCCUCCUAAAGAGUAACGGAGGAGCACGAAGGUUGGCUAAUCCUGGUCGGACAUCAGGAGGUUAGUGCAAUGGCAUAAGCCAGCUUGACUGCGAGCGUGACGGCGCGAGCAGGUGCGAAAGCAGGUCAUAGUGAUCCGGUGGUUCUGAAUGGAAGGGCCAUCGCUCAACGGAUAAAAGGUACUCCGGGGAUAACAGGCUGAUACCGCCCAAGAGUUCAUAUCGACGGCGGUGUUUGGCACCUCGAUGUCGGCUCAUCACAUCCUGGGGCUGAAGUAGGUCCCAAGGGUAUGGCUGUUCGCCAUUUAAAGUGGUACGCGAGCUGGGUUUAGAACGUCGUGAGACAGUUCGGUCCCUAUCUGCCGUGGGCGCUGGAGAACUGAGGGGGGCUGCUCCUAGUACGAGAGGACCGGAGUGGACGCAUCACUGGUGUUCGGGUUGUCAUGCCAAUGGCACUGCCCGGUAGCUAAAUGCGGAAGAGAUAAGUGCUGAAAGCAUCUAAGCACGAAACUUGCC